CUCCGGGUAUAUUGUUAUGCAAUCUGUAACUUUACUACAAUGGUUCUUUUAUGGUUGCCAUGGUAAUGGUUGUUUUGUUUUAAGGGGACAAUAAUUUGAUGGUUUUUUUUGGGGGGGGGGGAGUUGACGAAUAGAUCUAAUCAUUUUGAUCUGUUGCUACGCAAGUUUAUAUUUUACUACAGCAAAGCUUCAUUUUUAGGCAGUUAAGCUGCCUUAUGCGAGCACUCUGGAUUUGUGUGCUACCCAAUAAAUGCUGAAAUACGUGCCAUUGUUAUAAUUUAGCUGGCUACUAUAUUAUUUGUAACUUAUUGGACAGUUUUUUUAUACUUUUCAUUCUGAAUUACAAAAAAUAUGACCAGAAAAACCUUAAAUGAUCGUCGAUUUUCCCAAAAGUUUUGAAGUUGCACAUAGGAAGUAGAGCACAUUUUGAGGUGUGCCUUGAUUGGCAGAAACUCGUUUACAGAUUACAGAUUACAGAUUAGGAAUCCUUAUGUAGUUUAUUAUCCUCUGAGCUUUUGGCUAAGAUGUCAAAGAACAAAUGUAUGAAAUAUCUAAUCGCCGAAAAUCUCUAAAGACAAGUAGUUAAGAUUUCCCAAAUUGCAAAAGUCGUAGGAAUAUUGUUUGUCGACAAUACGUAGUCAACUACGUAUAUAAGUUCAACUGUUGGCGGCAAUUUUGAAUUUAAAAGAAGACGAAAUUUUCGUAUCUUUUCAAUUUGGACGCAGGGUUUUAAAUUAGCGGUGGUCCAAGGUCUGUGACCUUCCACUUUUGCAGUCGGACUUUCUACUUUGUUACUAGCUACGCACGACAUGCCCGACGGACCUUGAAAUAAUAUAAAAAAAUAACUUUGCAAACAUUUUUACCAAAGUUUCCUAAUAAACGAUCUCAAACUUAUAUUCAUCAUUACUAUUUCAUGACAGCCAUGUUCAAUUUGUUCUACCGCUAGCUUUAUACAUAAAAUCGCUGAUAAAUAAUGUGUAAAUCCGAGUAAAAUC
rnacentral:lncRNA from 1 species